UAAAGGGUUUUUAUAAAAACCAUCGCCAGAACCUGAAAGGUUUUAG
rfam:Papilio machaon contig48638, whole genome shotgun sequence.